GGAGUUUUCACUUCAAUGGAGGCAAACGGGGAUGCGUGUGUCAGUGUGUGUGCGAUAUACAUAUCACGGGCAAGUGUCUGACCUGAAAGUGUCCGCGACCAACUUGAAUUAAAUCCCUGGGGGUUGUUUGCAGAGACCCGGAGGAGGAAGUUGCCAAGGCCGACUUGGUGACCUGACUUGGUAGGGCCAAAGUUAGAAAAAACCAAACCCCUGUAGGACGUUGAGGCGGUCCAGGUCCAGGCUGCAGAGUGCCCACGCUCACAUCUGCCCCCACCUGGGGGGCAGGGAGCGGGGCCCAAGUGUCCCGGGAAAAGGCGGGAGCAGGGGGCGCAGGCUUAGAUGCGCGGGUUUCGGGCCGGCAGCUCGGCGCGCGUGGCGGUGGUGCGCGCCUCCGCCCUGCGCGGUCCCCGGGCAGCCCUAGCUGGGUCCUGAGCGUCCGGAGCGUGUUCCGGGAAGGUGACUCAGCGACGCGCUCAAGGGUCGAGAAACCCCGCGAAACUAGGGACAAGAGGAGGGAGCUGGGGUGUCGUCACCCUCUCGCAGCGCUGCGUGUCCGCCGAGCGAGAAGUCUGGGCUUUGGCUCCUAGAAGACGGGGGACGUGGAGCAGUGCUCUCCGAAAUCUCAGGUUUGGGGGGAGGUGGCUGCGGAGACGGCCAAGGCAGCUUCCUCCUUCUUCUCCCCCGCUCAGGAGGGACCCUUCCAUCAGGCCUGAAAAGCUGCCGUCUUAAACCUUGGAGUCUGAUGGGAAACUGAGGCACAGGGAAGGGAACGCCUGGCUGUGCAUGAGUCCGUGAAACUCACCCAUCAGUGUCCCUAGCCCAAGAGACAGAAUUGGGCAAGAGCAAGAUGCUCUUCCUCUUUCAACGAUUGGGGAAACUGAAACCCUGAGAGGUGAAAGGUCUUCCCCAAGCUGCCAAACCAGUUCCC
rnacentral:lncRNA from 1 species